rnacentral:rRNA from 1 species
AUUGAACGCUGGCGGAAUGCUUUACACAUGCAAGUCGAGCGGCAGCGCGGGGGCAACCCUGGCGGCGAGCGGCGAACGGGUGAGUAAUACAUCGGAACGUGUCCUUGAGUGGGGGAUAAGCUCGGCGAAAGCCGGAUUAAUACCGCAUAAGCUCUGAGGAGGAAAGCGGGGGGACCUGGUAACGGGCCUCGCGCUGUUGGAGCGGCCGAUGUCGGAUUAGCUAGUUGGUGGGGUAAAGCCACAAGCGACGAUCCGUAGCUGGUCUGAGAGGAUGAUCAGCCGACACUGGAACUGAGACACGGUCCAGACUCC